AUUUGAGUUGUUUAAAUUAAUUUUAUUUCAUAACUUGAGAGAUGAAUAGGUAAUGUCAUAAAGUAAGUCUAAACAAAAACUGACAAAACAUUAAGGACUACACAAUGAUGACCAGUUGAACUGACAUUAUAUAGACUACAAUUAACUAGAACUGAACUACACUAAGGGAAGGAUGAUCAAUUAAGUGAAAGUGAUAAUGUCUUAUUGUUUUCAACUAUGUUAGUGUAGUAUGAGAUCUUUAUCUGCAUCACCAACUUGCUGUUUCCAUUUCUAUAAUAAACUUGUACUAUAAUGAUAUGAUAUAAUUAACAAAGACAAAACAUUCAGACUUGUUACUAGGCUUGACUAGUAUAUACAAAAAUGUUUUGUAUUUAUAGUGCUCUGCCUUAUCUUUACCUGAUUGCACUGCUUUUCUGUCUUACAUAGUAACAUUGCCCAAUCAGAACAGCAGUAGUAUGGGCUAGAUCCUUAUGUCUCAUUAGAAAACUGAUGACAAUAACUUGUGGAACACAUAUUAGAGCUUAGAAGAUAACUUUAUACAAAUAAUCAUGACACAUUACUAGAGAAAUAAUCACAUCCCUUUA